UUUUACAAUGGAGAGUUUGAUCCUGGCUCAGGAUGAACGCUAGCUACAGGCUUAACACAUGCAAGUCGAGGGGAAACGGCAUUAAGUGCUUGCACUUUUUGGACGUCGACCGGCGCACGGGUGAGUAACGCGUAUCCAACCUUCCCAUGACUAAGGGAUAACCUGCCGAAAGGCAGACUAAUACCUUAUGGUCUUCACUGACGGCAUCAGAUGUGAAGUAAAGAUUUAUCGGUUAUGGAU
rnacentral:rRNA from 1 species